GACGAACGCUGGCGGCGUGCCUAAUACAUGCAAGUCGAGCGAAGCGGCGGAUGGGUAAGUAACGAGUGGGUAACCUACCAUUAAGUCUUGGAUACCAUUUGGAAACAGAUGCUACUACCGGCUACUAAAGGACGGACCUGCGGUUCAUUAGCUAGUUGGUAAGGUAACGGCUUACCAAGGCGAUGAUGCAUAGCCGAGUUGAGAGGCUGAUCGGCCACAUUGGGACUGAGACACGGCCCAGACUCCUACGGGAGGCAGCAGUAGGGAAUCUUCGACAAUGGACGAAAGUCUGAUGGAGCAACGCCGCGUGAGUGAAGAAGGUUUUCGGAUCGUAAAGCUCUGUUGUUGGUGAAGCGGUAAUCAACCAGAAAGUCACGGCUAACUACGUGCCAGCAGCCGCGGUAAUUC
rnacentral:rRNA from 1 species